rnacentral:lncRNA from 1 species
CGACGGCGGUGGGGUUUGGAGAUGCAUUAGUCUCAACAGCAGGGGUGGUGGCGAUGGUGGUGGGGCUAAGAGGUGCAGUAGCCUAAACGGCAAGUUCGGCAGCAGUGGGGCCUAGCAACAUAGUAACAGCGGCAGCGACGACUUUGGGGCUGGGAGGUGCAGUAACCUCACACAGCAGGCGCGGUGGCGGCAGGGCCUAGCAACGCAGCAGCAGCGGCAUCAAUGGCAGUGGAACUGGGAGGUGCUGCUGCGUUGCUAUUUCCCGCCGCCGCCGCGCCUGCGGUUGAGACUAACGCACCUCCCACAUGUUUUAGCUAGUUACAUCAACAAUGCUGUGCCUGUGGGAC